rnacentral:rRNA from 1 species
ACUCCUACGGGAGGCAGCAGUGGGGAAUUUUGGACAAUGGGCGAAAGCCUGAUCCAGCAAUGCCGCGUGCAGGAUGAAGGCCUUCGGGUUGUAAACUGCUUUUGUACGGAACGAAAAAGCUCCUUCUAAUACAGGGGGCCCAUGACGGUACCGUAAGAAUAAGCACCGGCUAACUACGUGCCAGCAGCCGCGGUAAUACGUAGGGUGCGAGCGUUAAUCGGAAUUACUGGGCGUAAAGCGUGCGCAGGCGGUUAUGUAAGACAGAUGUGAAAUCCCCGGGCUCAACCUGGGAACUGCAUUUGUGACUGCAUGGCUAGAGUACGGUAGAGGGGGAUGGAAUUCCGCGUGUAGCAGUGAAAUGCGUAGAUAUGCGGAGGAACACCGAUGGCGAAGGCAAUCCCCUGGACCUGUACUGACGCUCAUGCACGAAAGCGUGGGGAGCAAACAGGAUUAGAAACCCGGGUAGUCCCAUGA